AGUGAACGCUGGCGGUAGACCUAACACAUGCAAGUCGAACGGCAGCACAGUAAGAGCUUGCUCUUACGGGUGGCGAGUGUCGGACGGGUGAGGAAUACAUCGGAAUCUACUUUUUCGUGGGGGAUAACGUAGGGAAACUUACGCUAAUACCGCAUACGACCUACGGGUGAAAGCAGGGGAUCUUCGGACCUUGCGCGAUUGAAUGAGCCGAUGUCGGAUUAGCUAGUUGGCGGGGUAAAGGCCCACCAAGGCGACGAUCCGUAGCUGGUCUGAGAGGAUGAUCAGCCACACUGGAACUGAGACACGGUCCAGACUCCGACGGGAGGCAGCAGUGGGGAAUAUUGGACAAUGGGCGCAAGCCGGAUCCAGCCAUACCGCGUGGGUGAAGAAGGCCUUCGGGUUGUAAAGCCAUUUUGUUGGGAAAGAAAAGCAGCAGGUUAAUACCCCGCUGUUCUGACGGUACCCAAAGAAUAAGCACCGGCUAACUUCGUG
rnacentral:rRNA from 1 species